rnacentral:ncRNA from 1 species
AUGUGGUCUAUUCGUUUAAGAUAAGCCAACAAUAAAAAAGUGGCAAUACCAUCCACAAUUGUGGGCUUUUUUGUUGUGCUUAUUUUGCGAAUCAGGACAUGGAUACGGGUGAAGUGUAAACCAUUUAGGUUAUACGUUUUUUCUCGUGUGUCUUUAACGUUGAUAUGCAGACUAAAGCUCGCAUUGCGGAUUUUAGUCUGCAUUUUUUAU